rnacentral:snoRNA from 1 species
GUUGGCCGGUGAAGAAAACCUCGAUUAAAAACACCAUCUUUCGGGGCUGAUCGGCCGCCGCUCGGCGGCCAUGCUGCCAUUCUGCAAUUCUGAGGCCAAC